UGCAUGGAGAAAAGGCCUACACAAGCCUCUGCUAAUGUGUACAUAGUUUAUACUAAGUGACCCAUAGGUUGAGGAGGCGGUGACCGUGGCAGUGGUGGAGGAGGAUGAGGUAGCCAACACUGUUUUUUAUGUAUUUUUUUUUUUUUAUUGUGGUAGCCCACAAAAUAUUGGGACAUAUAAUUAAAGACAACUCUGACGCGCAGAGUAGCUGUUGACAUUAUAGUUGCGCAGGCACUUUGUUGACUUUAGAGAACCUCGAGCCAAUCGUACAUCCCCGUGGAGGCGACUUUGCAUGCAGAUGUCAUCCAUAUCAACGUUUGAUGCCAGUUUCUGCGCCUACCAUGGUGACCACGGGUAACGGGGAAUCCAUUCCGCACAGGGACCCUGAGAAACGGCUACUACAUGCAAGGAAGGCAGCAGGCACACAAAUGACCCACUCCCGGCGCGGGAAGCUGUAGUGACAACAAAUAACAAUACAGGACUCUUUAGAGGCCUUGUAAUUGUAAUGAGUCCACUUGCAAUCCUUUAACUCUGAUCAAUUGGAGGGAAGUCUGGUGCAGAGCCACUGACCUGUGCGUACUGCAGCUGAAACUCCACU